rnacentral:rRNA from 1 species
AUUGAACGCUGGCGGCAUGCUUUACACAUGCAAGUCGAACGGUAACAGGUUAAGCUGACGAGUGGCGAACGGGUGAGUAAUGCAUCGGAACGUGCCCGAUCGUGGGGGAUAACGCAGCGAAAGCUGCGCUAAUACCACAUACGAUCUGAGGAUGAAAGCGGGGGACCGUAAGGCCUCGCGCGAUCGGAGCGGCCGAUGUCAGAUUAGGUAGUUGGUGGGGUAAAGGCUCACCAAGCCAACGAUCUGUAGCUGGUCUGAGAGGACGACCAGCCACACUGGGACGGAGACACGGCCCAGACUCCUACGGGAGGCAGCAGUGGGGAAUUUUGGACAAUGGGCGAAAGCCUGAUCCAGCAAUGCCGCGUGCAGGAAGAAGGCCUUCGGGUUGUAAACUGCUUUUGUACGGAGCGAAAUGGCUCUGGUUAAUACCUGGGGUCGAUGACGGUACCGGAAGAAUAAGGACCGGCUAACUACGUGCCAGCCGCCGCCGUAA